AUAACUCUCUAAACUAGAAAAUAUCAUCAAUACCCUUUUUAAAACCAAAAAUAUUUACAGAUACUCCUUAGGUAAACUUUCCGUCAAGAAGUCAUCCAAUAUUUUAUAAAUACCAAUUUUACGCCUAGCACGAAUUUAACCAGUGUAAUAAUUUAAGAUUAAUUACUUAAUUAAUUCUUAAUGUUUAAAUCACAUUAUAAUUUAACAUUCUUUUUAAAAUUUUACAAUUAAAGAUCUAUAGUCUAUUAAGUGUGAUAGUUAAAUCU
rnacentral:lncRNA from 1 species